rnacentral:rRNA from 1 species
UAGUCCACGCCCUAAACGAUGGAUACUAGUCGUUGGGUCUCCUAAUAGACUCGGUGACGUAGCUAACGCAUUAAGUAUCCCGCCUGGGGAGUACGGUCGCAAGAUUAAAACUCAAAGGAAUUGACGGGGGCCCGCACAAGCGGUGGAGCAUGUGGUUUAAUUCGAUGCUACGCGAAAAACCUUACCUAGGCUUGACAUCCCGGGCUAUCCUGUGAAAGCAGGAGUUCCCUUACGGGACCCGGUGACAGGUGCUGCAUGGCUGUCGUCAGCUCGUGUUGUGAGAUGUUGGGUUAAGUCCCGCAACGAGCGCAACCCUCGUCACUAGUUACUAACGGUUCGGCCGAGGACUCUAGUGAGACUGCCUUCGCAAGGAGGAGGAAGGUGAGGACGACGUCAAGUCAUCAUGGCCCUUACGGCCAGGGCAACACACGUGCUACAAUGGUUAGGACAAUGAGACGCGAUACCGCGAGGUGGAGCAAAUCUAUAAACCUAAUCUCAGUUCGGAUUGUUCU